GAUGAACGCUAGCGGGAGGCCUAACACAUGCAAGCCGAGCGGUAGAGUUCCUUCGGGAACUUGAGAGCGGCGUACGGGUGCGUAACACGUGUGCAACCUACCUUUAUCUGGGGGAUAGCCUUUCGAAAGGAAGAUUAAUACCCCAUAAUAUAAUGAUUGGCAUCAAUUAUUAUUGAAAACUCCGGUGGAUAGAGAUGGGCACGCGCAAGAUUAGAUAGUUGGUGAGGUAACGGCUCACCAAGUCAAUGAUCUUUAGGGGUCCUGAGAGGGAGAUCCCCCACACUGGUACUGAGACACGGACCAGACUCCUACGGGAGGCAGCAGUGAGGAAUAUUGGACAAUGGGUGAAAGCCUGAUCCAGCCAUCCCGCGUGAAGGAUGACGGUCCUAUGGAUUGUAAACUUCUUUUGUACAGGGAGAAACCUACUCUCGUGAGGGUAGCUGAAGGUACUGUACGAAUAAGCACCGGCUAACUCCGUG
rnacentral:rRNA from 1 species